GCGUCCUGCCUCGUGAUCGUCUUCUCACCCUUCACCUGGCAGGCGGAUGAACGGCGAGCCCCCACGAGGACGUGACUCGUGGGGGCUCGCC
rnacentral:ncRNA from 1 species